CUGCAUGUUUAUCCAAGAGCUGUGGUUCUGUGCUGUAGCUGCAGGUCUCCAACAACAUGCAAGAGCAACGGGAAGGUCUUUGACUGCUUGGCCUCUUCUGCCUGGUGCUGUCACUCACCCCUCCUAUAUAA
rfam:Calypte anna contig51462, whole genome shotgun sequence.